rnacentral:misc_RNA from 1 species
CCAUCCGCCAUGGCAUCCAACAACUCCAUUGCUUAUCCUUCGCUCCUGUUCCUGGCCAUGGAACUCGCUUUAACUGUUCCAGUGCAUGGCCAAUCUCCGAGUGCUGCUCCAACAGUCCCGGCGGCACCAUCCCAAAACCGUUGCCCCCCUGGCUUCCCUGACCUGAUCUCCUUGAUUGAAGGCAUGAAGAUGUAUUUUGAGCAGGCCAACAGCAGCAGCGAAUGCCUGUACCUCCCCUCUACUAGUAUUCCCGGCAUCAAUGGUCCCUACAAAUCCGUUCCAGCGUCAACGCCUGGUUUCCCUGACCACCCAAUCUCUCUCAAAAGUGAAGGCGCUAUGAAGGUGUGCGCUACUUACGACCCCAAUCCCGGUUCAUCAACACCGACGACGCCGGCACAAUUCUGUCUUGGAAUGCUAUUUGACCUGGCAUAAGUCAUAUAUAUACUUUUUGGAACGAAGGCAAAAGUACUCUGGAUAAGUCACGCCCGUUAAAUUAAAUAUAUUUAUGUACAUGUAAUAAUGCGUGACAUGUCGUUGGUGUUUGUUUGUACCUGUGUUGGUCUCAGAAUAUCAAUAGACUACCAUAUACUUAUUAUACUGGAAAAGUAUAUUAAUG